GCUGGUGUGGUGGAAUUGGCAGACACAAGGGACUUAAAAUCCCUCGAUAGCAAUAUUGUACCGGUUCGAGUCCGGUCACCAGCACCA
rnacentral:tRNA from 1 species